GGUGGCUCAGUGGUAGAGUACUUGCCUUGCAUGCAUAAGGCCCUGGGUUCAAUUCCCCAGCACCA
rnacentral:tRNA from 1 species